AGUGAACGCUGGCGGUAGGCCUAACACAUGCAAGUCGAACGGCAGCACAGUAAGAGCUUGCUCUUACGGGUGGCGAGUGGCGGACGGGUGAGGAAUACAUCGGAAUCUACUUUUUCGUGGGGGAUAACGUAGGGAAACUUACGCUAAUACCGCAUACGACCUACGGGUGAAAGCAGGGGAUCUUCGGACCUUGCGCGAUUGAAUGAGCCGAUGUCGGAUUAGCUAGUUGGCGGGGUAAAGGCCCACCAAGGCGACGAUCCGUAGCUGGUCUGAGAGGAUGAUCAGCAACACUGGAACUGAGAAACGGUCCAGACUCCUACGGGAGGCAGAAGUGGGGAAUAUUGGACAAUGGGCGCAAGCCUGAUCCAGCAAUACCGCGUGGGUGAAGAAGGCCUUCGGGUUGUAAAGCCCUUUUGUUGGGAAAGAAAAGCAGCAGGUUAAUACCCCGCUGUUCUGACGGUACCCAAAGAAUAAGCAACGGCUAACUUCGAG
rnacentral:rRNA from 1 species